rnacentral:rRNA from 1 species
AACGAACGCUGGCGGCAUGCCUAACACAUGCAAGUCGAACGAGAUCUUCGGGUCUAGUGGCGCACGGGUGCGUAACGCGUGGGAAUCUGCCCUUUGGUUCGGAAUAACAGUUGGAAACGACUGCUAAUACCGGAUGAUGACGUAAGUCCAAAGAUUUAUCGCCAGAGGAUGAGCCCGCGUAGGAUUAGCUAGUUGGUGUGGUAAAGGCGCACCAAGGCGACGAUCCUUAGCUGGUCUGAGAGGAUGAUCAGCCACACUGGGACUGAGACACGGCCCAGACUCCUACGGGAGGCAGCAGUGGGGAAUAUUGGACAAUGGGCGAAAGCCUGAUCCAGCAAUGCCGCGUGAGUGAUGAAGGCCUUAGGGUUGUAAAGCUCUUUUACUCGGGAUGAUAAUGACAGUACCGGGAGAAUAAGCUCCGGCUAACUCCGUGCCAGCCGCCGCGGUAA